GUAAUAGUAGUAUAAUCAAUACACAUCCCUUACAAGGAUAAAAUCAUAACAAUGCUAUUUCA
rnacentral:tRNA from 1 species